UAGUUCAAUUUUUCUAUUGAGAAAAAGUUAUUUCGCAAUACAUAUCGUUAUCUUUCCAUCGCCCAGCUGUACUUAAAUGGGAGUUUGUUCCUUCCACUGUCGUGAAAUCACUUGCUCAUAAGAGCAGAUAUCCUUUUCAAAUAACGAGUGAUGUAUUAGGAUUACUUCAUUGGAGAGGUAAUCAGUAAUUAGUAACUAACUACUUUUUCACUUGACCAGCAUAAGAGGCUGUCUGAUUGCUGGGUUUUUCUCUGUAUGUAUUAUUGUAGGGUCUACCUUACAAGAUAAAAUGUCUUGAGGUGACUGUUGUUGUUCGGUGUUGUAUAAAUAAAAGUGAAUUGAAUUGAAUAAAACACCAGAUAAACCAAAGAAUUUACUGUUGCAUGGUUUCUGGAGCAGGUGGCACUACUCCAGAUUAUUUAUGAAACACUUCUUUCACACACAGGUGAAACCCUGGAUUAACUUAAUGGGUUGAAAGCUAUCUUCAUGUGACAGUUUAUUGUCAUCACUGGUGUUUUGGGUAUACACAGAGGAUUAUUUGGUGCCAGUCAGACUGUGAGGACUGCUCACAAAAACACUGCUGAUUUCUUUCACCUGAAUUCAUCUCAUCACUUUUGCAGACACCAUGGGUGCUCGACAGUCCGCCAUUCAUAUUACCAACAAGACUGAGGGCUACACCCUUCGUAACCCCAGUCUGCAUCUUGUUAGCGGACUCUGCCAGAUUCCUUUGCCAACAAAACUUGAGCCUUCUGAAUCUGGCAAUGCUCUGUUCUCUAAGAUUGGUGGCACAGCGUGUGGAUCUGUUGGAGUCUUCACCUACGAUCUCUACAAUCCAGCUAGAGACAGAGCUGAUAAGAAAAUAGCCGUCAUGUUCUCUGUUCCUUUUGACUACGGCCGGUACUCUAACUGGUUUGCAGUCGGAGGUUUUGACAGGGAAACAAACUGUGACAAUGAUCUUUAUCACAAGAUGUAUUACAGUGAUGAGAGAGGGUUUGUUAGAGGAAAAGCUGAUGGUCAUGAUCUGAAACACAGAGAUGAUGAUGUUGUUGUUACAUUGGGCAUGACAAACUCCAGCGUUGCAACACUGAAAGUUGGUGUACACAACAGGGAGCAAAUCUAAUUAUUAAAAUGAGAGGUUAAAAUGUCUUACUGUUUUUAGGGCAGAUCUAGCAAAAUGACUUGAUCACCCAUCAUCUGUAUUAUCUGGAUUUACUCACCCCAAGGCUGAUGAUCAGGAUAUCAGCUGGUUAAGGGCCCCAGGGCUUCCCUUUCUUCUACAGAAAAUCAUCCUUAUAACAUCUAGACCAAAGAUAUGCCAGUAAAACACAACACUGUUGUAAAAGGACAUCUGAUUAAGGCUGCAGCUGUUUGAGAUUGUGAACCAGCUUCACAGUACAGAAAAAUCAGGUUAAUCCUCUGGAGUUAAAACCUUUAAAAAUUAGCUUUGACAUUGAAUCACUAAAUAUCAGCUAAAGCAGGCAUAACAUGGUCACAUAGAUGGGAUGUUGGAUAAUUGAUCAAAUCAGACUGAACCUCUCCACACAGCAACAUCUCCAGUGUUAAAUUAACACUGGAGAUGGAGAGAGUGUAUAUGUGCCCACUCCUCUGAGUGUUAAAUAUAACACUGUUGAUUGUUGAGCAGUGCUGAUUUUCUAACACUGGAAAAUAACUCAAAAUGUUAGAAAUAUUCCAGUGUUAGAAAAUCAGCACUGCUCAGUGUUAGUCAUUGUAAAUCUUCAGAACUGACUAGGUUACUUUUAAAAAUAUAACACUCUCAAAAGUGUUCAUUUAACACUGAGAGGAGUGGACACAUAUACACACUCUAUAGUAUUAAUUUAACACUGGAGAUUUUGCUGUGCACCAAAUAUUAUUGAAAUCCUCACUAAACUGUGAGGGUGUAGUGGAAGAUUUUUGGCAUUUAAUAAUCUUUUAUUGUUUCUGCUGGAAAUACUUUCUGAGAAAUACUGAUUUUAUGUUUCCUGUGCAUAACUUUAAACAAAUGAAUAAAGAAAUAAACCAGA